rnacentral:rRNA from 1 species
GAUCCUGGCUCAGAUUGAACGCUGGCGGCGUGCUUAACACAUGCAAGUCGAACGCGAAAGGGACUUCGGUCCUGAGUAAAGUGGCGCACGGGUGAGUAACGCGUGGAUAAUCUGCCCUUAUGAUCGGGAUAACAGUUGGAAACGGCUGCUAAUACCGGAUACGCUCAAAAUGAACUUUUUGAGGAAAGAUGGCCUCUGCUUGCAUGCUAUCACGUAAGGAUGAGUCCGCGUCCCAUUAGCUUGUGGCGGGUAACGCCCACCAAGGCAACGAUGGGUAGCCGAUUUGAGAGGAUGAUCGGCCACACUGGAACUGAAACACGGUCCAGACUCCUACGGGAGGCAGCAGUGGGGAAUAUUGCGCAAUGGGCGAAAGCCUGACGCAGCGACGCCGCGUGAGGGAUGAAGGUUUUCGGAUCGUAAACCUCUGUCAGAAGGGAAGAAACUACGUUGUGCUAAUCAGCAGCGUACUGACGGUACCUUCAAAGGAAGCACCGGCUAACUCCGUGCCAGCCGCGGC